ACAAGUUGCCAAAGUUGACGAGUCGGCCAAGUUGACGAGUUGGCCAUGUUGUUGCUGACCACAAUUUGAUUUUUUAGUACUCAUCAUUCACUCUUGUCUGCUGAACCCUCUUCUAAGCAGUGAAAUUGCUGGAGUAUCAAAUUAUAAUCUCCAUACAUUACAAACAUUUCUUUUCCUAUACUCAUGGCUGAUGCAUUUGUAACUGAUCUUGCCAGUGGCCUGGUUUUCAAGCUUGUUUCACUUGCGGCUGAAGAAGUCAUUCAGGCUUGGAAUCUUCAGGAACAUCUAGUAACACUGCGAGAAAGGUUGGAAACCAUUGAUGCUCUAUUAUCCGAUGCUGAUAGCAAAAAGCUAAAGAUGUCUGCUGUCCAGAGCUGGUUCAACAAGCUGGAGGAUGUUGCUCAUGUAGCUGAUGCUUUCAUGGAUGAACUUGCUUAUGAAGUCACUCGGCGAAAGGUUGAAAAUCGCGGUACGUUGAGGCAUUUAUUUUCUACUAAAAACAGCGUACUUUAUCGUUCUAAGGUUGCUCAUAAGAUCAAGUCUAUCCAUACUUCUCUCGACAAUAUUUUUCAAUUGGCCAGAGAUCUCGGACUUCAGCCUGUGGCGCAAUUAACUACUGCUGUGCAGCCCAGGGAAAUCCGCAAUACUCCCCCCUUUGAAGACGAGUCACUAAUAGUUGGAAGAGAUGAUGAAAUAUCAUUUUUAGUCAAAACAGUGUGCACAAAUCAUGCAGAGGAUUUACCAGUCAUUGCUGUAAUGGGGAUGGGAGGUCAAGGCAAAACAACUCUUGCUCGUAUGGUUUACAACAGAGAUGUUGUCACCGAUAUGUUCAAGAAGAGGAUGUGGGUCACUGUAUCGGAUGACUUUGAUUUCAUGAAAAUUUUAAAUCAAAUGGUAGCAUCACUCACUUCAACUACUUCGGUGUUGGAAAAUACAGAGGGACUCAUUAAGAAACUUCAAAGCUUUCUAAGGGACGUAAAGUUUUUACUCGUCUUAGAUGAUGUCUGGAAUGAGAGACCAGAGGAGUGGGAUAAGUUAAGGAAUUCUUUGCUCGGGGUUGGUGGAGCGAGUGGUAGCAAGAUUUUAGUUACAACUCGUAAACAGGAAGUCGUUGAUGUCAUGCGAUGUCUUAUUUCUCAUAGGGUGGAGAAAUUAUCAAAAGAAGAUAGCUGGGAAUUGUUCAAGCGAAGAGCAUUUUCACGAGGAGGAGUUUUAGAGACGGCGAGAUUUGUAGCCAUGGGAAGAAAAAUGGUGGGAAGGUGUGGUGGCCUGCCUUUGGCAAUAAAAGCACUUGGAGGUUUACUGCACUCUAAGAAGUCUGAGCAAGAGUGGUUGCGGAUUCAAAAUAGUGCAACGUGGGAUUCGAAUGAUGAUGUAUUGCCUUCCUUGAGGUUGUCUUAUGAUAAUCUACCUCAUUCUUCUCUAAAGAAAUGUUUUGCAUAUUGUUCAAUUUUGCCAAAGGAUUCUCUUAUCUCAAAAGGUGAAAUGGUACGUAUAUGGAUGGCAUUAGGAUUCCUUGUGCCCCCUAAAGGUAGCAAUAAGCUAAUGGAAGAUAUAGGGAGGGAAUACUUUAACAUAUUGUUGUGGAAUUGUUUGUUACAAAAUGGCGACAUACGUGAUUACAAGAUGCAUGAUCUGGUGCAUGAUCUAGCACUAGAUCUAUCCAAAAAUCAUUCUGCAACAGUGAAGGCUGAUGGUCAUGAGUUAGACGAUAUUUCCAAGGCCAUAUAUGUGAAGGUUGAUGUAGGGAUUACAAAUAUUAAGCCACCCCUUCUUAAGAGAAAUUUUGAGAAAGUACAAGUAUUAUAUGCAGAUGCUCGCAUCGUCAAGGACUUGGUGCCUUACCCCAGUCACUUAAUUGGUUUGGUUCUCGAAGGAACCUUCGAAGAUGAUCCGUUGCCAAGUUCAUUGAGCACUCUGAAGUAUCUUAAGUAUCUGGAUAUCUCAAGAUGCUACAUGACUAAGAAUAAAUUACCUGAUUACAUUACGAGACUCUACAACUUGCAGACAUUGAGCGUUCGGAGUGCAACACAGCUUCCAAGAAAUAUUUGCAACUUAAUCAAUUUAAGACAUAUUCUGGUCGAUGAGCCUUAUAACUACGACUUUAAGAAUUCGGACAUCAUCACUGUGUUUUCUCGGAUAGAGAGGUUAACUUGUCUCCAAACGCUGCCUUAUUUUAUUGCGACUAGAGAUCAUCAAUGUGUUAUUGGACAACUGGGAAGUUUAAAAUAUCUUCAAGGUACUCUGAAGCUUUAUGGCCUUAGUGAUGUAGAGAAUAUGGAAGAAGCCAGGAAGGCGAGUUUGCUUACAAAAUCGAAUAUUGAGCAUUUAACGUUAGACUGGAGAAAGAAUAAAGAUGUGAUGGAAGAAAAAGAAAACAACCAUGAGGAUGUGAUGGAAGGAUUAGAACCUCAUGCAAAUCUAAAAGCAUUGGAUGUUGGCAACUUUAUGGGAAAGAAGUUUGCAGCAUGGAUUACAAUCAUGACAAACUUGGAAGUUAUCACCUUCAAAAAUUGCAAAAGAUGUGAAGAGUUUCCACAGCUGGGUCAUCUUCCUAAAUUGAGAGAGAUUAGUAUAUACAGGAUGGAUAACGUCAAGGUUAUAAGCAGCGAUUUAUGUGGAGGUAGACAAGGUAGCAUUAGUGGUGAGUUAAAUGAUAAUGGGGCAGAAGAAACAGUUUUAACAAUGUAUCCGUCAUUGAAAAAUCUCUCUUUAGGCCAUUUGCCAAAGCUAGAAGAAUGGCUAGACCCAGCUACGGAUACAAGCGGUGAAGACCCGAAUAAUGUGCUAGUGUUUCCUAAACUCGUGGAGUUAUAUAUUUGGGAAUGUCCAAAGUUGACAAGGAUUCCGGGAAGUUGUUAUCCGUUGUUGAAGACACUGGACAUCGGAGACUUGGACAGCAGCAAGCUACUGGAAUCGUUGAGCGAAAAGGCAUGCGGUCUCACAGAUCUACGACUCGAGAAUAUCAGUGGCGGAGUAGGAUGCUCCUCCUCCUCAUCUUCUUCUUCUUCAAGUAUGAACUGCAUAAUCGGCAAGCUCUUGAAAAACAAUUCUGUGUCUUUGGAAACUUUGACUGUAAUAAAGUUACAGGGAUUGACACAUUUGACACUCGGCGCAGGUUUAAAGAGUUUAUGUGUGAGUGAUUUGCCAGACCUGAAUACUAUUAAUAUUGUCAAAGGGUCGGAUGCUCUAAAAGAUCUUUCCAUUUCGGAGUGUCUGAACUAUGAGGUGUUUGCCCAAAGUGUGAGUUCUACAGUUGAAAGAUUGGACUUAGGACCCUUCUCGGAGGAUUUAGAUGAAUUCCCAUGGCCCUCGUCCUUCUCUUUUCCCAAUGUAAUCUACCUAAGAGUGUGUGGGUGGGAAAAGCUAAAGUGGAUAGUGGAUGAAGGCCAACCUGAUGAUUAUCUCUCCUCCAUCUUCCCUGCCUUGCGUCAAUUAGACAUACAGGUGUUUGAAGGAGUGAAAUCUCUUCCCAUCUCACUAGCAAAGCUUCCAUUCCUGGAGAGAUUAUCAAUUGAUCUUUGUGGAAAUUUGGAGAGUUUGCCAAAGUUCCAUCACAACUUGCAGUACCUGGAGAUAUAUAGCUGUCCUAUAAUAAAAGAAAGAUACAUGAAGGGAAGCGGACCGGAAUGGUCCAAAAUCCAACACAUCAAACAAAUACAUGGGCUUGACUGAUGAGAGUAACGUCAUACAGUGAUGUUAAGAAAAUUUGAAUGAGCUAUACUCAUAAACAUGGCUGAUGCAUUGGUAGCUGAUCUUGCUAGUGGCCUGCUUUUCAAGCUUGUUUCACUUGCAACUGAACAAGUGAUCCAGGCUUAACAUUCAGGAACAUCUGGUAACGCUGCAAGAAAGGUUCUCCUCUUUAACAGUGGAAAAUCAAGUUAUUUUGAGACAAAAAAUAAGGAGAUAAAAAAGUGGAAAGUCGUAAGAAAUGAAAGGACCACGCGGAUUGUAUUUGUUAUUUCCCCGGGUUUAACUUACAGUGCAGCUGCUAGAGGUUAUAUUGGAGUUGCCACGCUAAUAGAGCCAGCUCUGUCACGUGCUUGAUCACAUUCAUUAGCGUGAUUGACCACAAGGCCCGACUUUCUACAAUGCUCAGCCGCGGACAUGUGAGUAGGAGCAUGAUCACAAAGACCAGGCUAAGUCAUAAGAAAUGAAAGAACCAAGCGCAUUGUAUUUUUCAUUACCUCGGGUUUAACUUUUAGUGCCAGAGGUAGUGGUAAUGUAUGGGAGUUGGCACUGGGUGUCGGUACUAGGGUACUGGGAAAAAUGUUAAUUGAUUUCUAAACUCUAAUGCGAACCUUAUUCGGGCCAAGAAUCUGUAUUCUUACAUUGUAAUUUAACUUCUAUUACACUGUAUCAAAUUAUAAUCUCCAUACAUUACAAACAUUUCUUUAUCUGUGCUA